UGGGGCAUGGUGUAAUGGAUAGCAUGUUCGGCUGCGUACCGUCCGAUCCGGGUUCGACUCCCGGUGUCCCAA
rnacentral:tRNA from 1 species